rnacentral:rRNA from 1 species
AACGAACGCUGGCGGCAUGCCUAACACAUGCAAGUCGAACGAACCCUUCGGGGUGAGUGGCGCACGGGUGCGUAACACGUGGGAACCUGCCCUUAGGUUCGGAAUAACAGUUAGAAAUGACUGCUAAUACCGGAUAAUGUCUUCGGACCAAAGAUUUAUCGCCUUUGGAUGGGCCCGCGUAGGAUUAGCUAGUUGGUGAGGUAAAGGCUCACCAAGGCGACGAUCCUUAGCUGGUCUUAGAGGAUGAUCAGCCACACGGGGACUGAGACACGGACCAGACUCCUACGGGAGGCAGCAGUGGUGAAUAUUGGACAAUGGGCGAAAGCCUGAUCCAGCAAUGCCGCGUGAGUGAUGAAGGCCUUAGGGUUGUAAAGCUCUUUCACCUGGGAUGAUAAUGACAGUACCAGGAGAAUAAGCCCCGGCUAACUCCGUGCCAGCCGCCGCGGUAAGAC